GGUGUCCGAAGCUUCCUCCUUAGUCUCCAGGUUCUCAUGGUGCCUGUGCUGCAGGGGGUCGCAUCUUAGCACAGGGAAGAAGGAGCCCACAGAGAGAAGUGUCGGGAGACAGCAACACACCAACUUGGGAUCACACAAGAGAAAACCUGCAACAUGUUACCCCUUCGUAGGGACGGACCGCAGCUCAGCUAAAACAGUAGCCAGGGAUGGGCAUGAUGGUUCUUUCCAGUUCUAUCUGAACUUUUGCUAUUACAGAAAAUAAUGAAAUGAAUAAACUGUGUUAUCAAGCCAUCUGUGACCAGAUCAUGAAUGGACUCAAAUCUCUUCUCACCCACAAAGUGUUUGCCAUCGUAGAAGAGCCUGUAGUUUAAAGUCUGGUUUCCAAACCUGCCCGGGAGAGAAUGCGAGAUCACCAUGGAGUUAGAAAUAAGACCAUGAAGAAUAACAGCAGCUAAGAUGUUCUGAACACAUACUGUGUGCCUGGCACCAGUUCUGAGAAUUUGACAUGAUUUUCCCCCAAUUUACUUAUCACAGAGACCCUCUGAGACAGGUACAAUUAUUAUCCCUGUUUUUUGGCUGAGAAAACUGAGACUUGAAGAGAUGGUAUAGCUGAGGUUACACCCCUGGAAAGAGGCAGAGGUAGGAUUUAAUCCCAGUCAGUUAUGUGAUGUCAUUAGAUCCUACAAAUCACCAGGGCUAUGUGGUCAUUCUCAUUCUCAUUUGAAAUGCCUGAUUUACAAACAGCUGACUUAUAAACUUCUGUGAUGGGAACUAGCCACGCCCUUCAUUCCCCUCCCUAUACCUGGCAAUUACCUGCAAAGGAAGCCAACACCACUGGCCCUGAUGUCCUGUGUAAUUACACCUCUGACCACUGCACAUCAUGCCCCCAUCCCAGGCAGCGUCACUGAAGGGCAACCAGGGAAGCUGUGGGGAGCUUUCUGCUGGAGCUGCCAGUGCCAGUGUCCCCAUGAGCUAAGCUAUGGGUCCUCCUGCUUAGCACUGUGCCCUCUUGACUUUGGUUGCACAUCUCACAGUCCCUACUGCUGGGGAGCUAAAAAAAUAGGAAACUGCAUACCUAGAGCACUUGCUAGGUUUUGAAGUACUUUCUCAAAACGAUACCAUUUAAGACAUAUUCUAGUCAUGCAUAGUUGCAACAUGGAAAGCAUAUUUCCAUUGACACAAAAUCAAGAUGGCGCACAGGACACAACUUUGUGGGCUGGCCUGUUUCACGGGCAACAUUCCUCCUAUGAAUAAAGGUCUUCCCAAUUCUGGAUAAAUUUCUGGAAAACCAACCAAUUCUGAAAUUGGAUACCUUGCCAAAACUGUGUAGGAUUAUUAAGAGGACCAAUGACAUAAAAUAUUCAAUGAAAGUAAAACGGAGUAAA